GAACAACGUGUUGACAAUCAAAGACUUGAGAGCUUUUACAUACACUUGAACAGCCCUCCUUAAAGACACCUAUGGAUUAGGCUAGCCAGCUAGUCAAUGUGUUUUGGGGGAGUGGCUUUGGAGGGAGGUCUGAAAGUUCUGCACGCUUGAGGGAGGAUCUCAGUGUUUAGACGUGGUUCUGGUUAGACUUACUGGGAACGACUCUUGCUCCACCAUGAGGGAGACCGACUGAUCCUGGUCGAACAACUCCUCCAGCUCCUUGGGAAACCUGUACCGGUGAUAACAGAAACAACAUGCAUUCAACACUUGGUCAAAACCCAGGAAGACAAAGGAACUUUUUGCCUGUCGGGACGGGAAAGUAGUUCCCUGAGGCCAUGAACAUCAAGGUGCACCCAACGGCCCACACAUCAACAGGCCUAGAUGUCGAAGAAGAAGCAGACCAAACGUGAUGUAGUUAGAGCUGUAGUGAUGCUAUGCUGAGACAGAGGUGUGCCAUAGUGUCCGUCCAUGCCCCCAGUUGAAGAUACCCACUUGUUGUACUCCGGGUCCAUCACCAGCAUCUCUGGUGCGCUGAACUCCUUCGUGCCCGCAUCCCGUGUGAGUGGUUCGGCAGCAUCAAUGGUCGCGCGGGCGUCGCCAAAGUCGGCCAACUUGACGACUCCCGAGUGCGAGACCAGCAGGUUAUCCGGCUUGAUGUCUCGGUGCAUUAUCUGGUGGAGCAAACGUCAUGUGGAAGACAAGCUUUAGAACACUUUUAUAAAGGAGGUAAGCUGUACAGUUUGAACGUCUGAAGUAGAAAUAAAACAAAUAAAGCCACAGGCGACCAAAGGGAAAUAGAUGCAAAAAAAUGAAAUAAUGGUAUCAUUAUUAUUAUAGGUAUAAUUGUUGUUAUUAUUAUUAACAAAAUAAAAUAAAUGUAGGCUAUUUGAAUAAUGUUAUAAAUAAAUAUUCACAUUGUGGCUGUGGAUGAAGUCCACUGCUCUGAGAAUCUGGAAACUGUAUUUCUUGAUCUUCAGCCUCUCCAGACCGCAGCCAGAAACUUGAACUUUCUUUUUCACCUCGUCAAAAACG